rnacentral:rRNA from 1 species
GUAGGUGGCAAGCGUUGUCCGGAAUUAUUGGGGCGUAAAGCGCGCGCAGGCGGUUCUUUAAGUCUGAUGUGAAAGCCCACGGGCUCAACCGUGGAGGGUCAUUGGAAACUGGAGAACUUGAGUACAGAAGAGGAAAGCGGAAUUCCACGUGUAGCGGUGAAAUGCGUAGAGAUGUGGAGGAACACCAGUGGCGAAGGCGGCUUUCUGGUCUGUAACUGACGCUGAGGCGCGAAAGCGUGGGGAGCAAACAGUAUUAGAUACCCUGGUAGUCCACGCCGUAAACGAUGAGUGCUAAGUGUUAGGGGGUUUCCGCCCCUUAGUGCUGCAGCUAACGCAUUAAGCACUCCGCCUGGGGAGUACGGCCGCAAAGGCUG